GAUGAACGCUGGCGGCAGGCUUAAUACAUGCAAGUCGAGCGGCAGCAUGAAGUAUCACUACUUUGAUGGGGACCGGCAAACGGGUGCGGAACACGUACACAACCUACCUUUAAGUGGGGGAUAGUCCUGAGGAAUAUGGAUUAAUACCGCAUAACACAACGAAGUGGGAUUACUUUGUUGUUAUAGUGUUAGUGGUUAAUGAUGGGUGUGCGUAGGAUUAGAUUGUUGGCGAGGUAACGGCGCACCAGGUCUACGAUCAGUAGCUGAUGUGGGAGCAUGAUAGGUGGCACGGGAGCUGGGACACGGACCCGGGUCCUGCGGCAGGGAGCAGUAAGCAAUAUUGGUCAGUGGACGCAAGUCUGAACCAGCCAUGCCGAGUGAAAGAUUAACGUGCUCUGGAUUGUAAACUUCUUUUAGAUGGGAAGAACAAAGUUAUUUCUAGACACCUUGACGGUACCAUAUGAAUAAGCACCGGCUAACUCCGUG
rnacentral:rRNA from 1 species